CCAUGCAUCGAGAUUUGGUUCUUAAACUGGUAAAGCUCUGUAGGGCACGAUAUCUUAAUCUGAAUUUCAGUCUGAUAAAAUUUUGUAGGGUACGAUAUCUUAAUCUAAAUUUCAGCCUGACAAAACCCUAUAGGGCACGAUAUCUUAAUCUGAAUUUCAGUCCGACAAAGCCCCAUAGGGCAUGAUAUCUUAAUCCAAAUUUCAAUCCGACAA
rnacentral:lncRNA from 1 species